CAGCAUAAUUGUCAAUUCAAAUCACGAACAUACACUCAGAGACGCUUUUAUAUUGAUGCUAGUGCAUCGAUAAAAUUGAUAAAAUUAUUACCCCACAAUCAUCCUGACAACACCAAAAAUUAUUUAUCAAAUUAUUUUAUUAGCAAUACUUAGCAGUACUUAUAUAAAGACUUGUUCUCUGAUAACUUUAUAUAAUUUUGUGUAUAUAACAUCUCUUAUCUUUAUUGUAAUUAAUAACCAAAAAGAAGAAGAAAAAUACUAUUAUGCCAAUGUUCUAAGAAAAAUGAACAAAAUAUUCUGAAAAAUUUUAUGACUAUAAUAUAUUUAAUAUUGGUAAGUUGAUACGUGCUUUAGUGUAAUAUACUUUGUAUCUCAAUCAAACAUCACAAACAUAAUAUUGAACUGCAUUUUACAGAUUUGUAUGUUACCAGCAACAAUGGCGUGUAAAAUCGAUCGGAUGGAUGCCCGCUAAGACGAUGUGUAUCGUACGAGUGCACGCAGUAGACUGAAAAUGCGAAGUCAGAAAGACUCAAUUGCGCUUGCGCGCUCAAGAACUCGUUCCAUGAAUGUCUUUUCUGGGAAAUAAUAUCCACAGAAUUUCUUUUAACGCUUAAAUUGAACGCUGAAUUAUCAAUCUAUCAUCCGUGAAAUUAUUAAAUUGCGAGUGAUCAAAAUGUUACAGUAAUACUCAUAAAGAGACCUCAUGUUUUGCAUUGUGUUUAUGUUAUAAGUAAUCUGUGUUAAAAUUUAACAGAAUAAAAUGCUAUUAACUAAAAGAAGGGGAGAUAGAUCUACACUAAAUUUCACAGUUAAAUGCAUCCCGAUAUUCGUAGAGAUAUGAUCUACAUACAAGCACAUUUCAAUCUCACUCGGAUUCUCAUGCUUGCGAUUGGUUUGUGGCCCUAUCAGCAAACAAAACUUGUUCAACUUCAGUUAAUUUUGAUUUCGAAUAUCCUGACGAGCUUUGUUGUGUUCCAGUUUACAACAUUUAUAACUACCGAAUGCUCUCCUAAUCUCGUUAUUAAAAUUCUCACUUGUUCAUUAUUUGCUGCUUCACCUAUGAUCAUACAUAAUUCGUUUUGGCUUAAUAUUCAUACCGUGAAAUGUUCAUUUGAACGACUUCAGGAUAUUUGUAAUGAGCUAAAAGAUGAGGGCGAAAUUGCUAUCAUAAAAAGAUAUGGGAACGAUACGAAACGUUAUACACUUAUACUUUUCUUGUGUGCCACAUGCGGUAUAGUUUUCUAUAGUUUUCUGCCACUUUGGCCGCAGAUACUUAGUACUGUCCUCCCCAUUAAUAUGUCUCAAACACACCGUAUAAUGCAUAUUAUGACUGAGUACUUCGUUGACCAAGAAAGAUAUUUCUAUUUAAUUCUACUGCAUAUAAAUACCGCUACUUACAUUGGUAUGAUAGUAGCAGUAGCAACGGGAACAGUGCUGAUUGGAUGUAUCAUACAUGCAUGUGGACUGUUUAGUAUUGUUAGUUACCGUAUUAAACAGGCAAUGACAAUCAAUAUGAUGGAAAAUGCUAACCAGGAGAAUCAGAUCCUAAUUUACAGGAAAAUAGUUUGUGCUGUAAACAUGCAUUGCAAAGCUAUGAACUUCUUAGAAGUGUUAAUGUCCGCAUUUGAAGGAUUGCUCUUUCUUUUGAUAGUGAUUUAUGUAACUGUUAUGAGUCUUAGUCUUUACGGAAUUGCAUCAUAUAGAGAUAACACCUCGGAAUUGUUUUUAUAUCUUACAUGCAUGACUACUGCUGUCCUGUACAUAUUCAUAGCCAACUAUGUGGCACAAGAUGUUACGGAUCACAACAACGAUAUAUUUGUGACCGUAUACGACUUCCAAUGGUACACAGCAUCAUUACGUGUACAGAAAAUGAUGCUGUUCAUGCUACAAAGAGGCACAAAAGCUUUCUGCGUGAAUAUUGGUGGAUUAUUUGUGGGAUCGCUACAGAACGCAGCCACGUUAAUAAGUGCCUCGAUAUCUUAUUUUACCGUUCUUUAUUCAAUGCAAAAUUGAAAGCAAGAUUUCAGAGGGAAGUAUAUUAUAGCUGAAGAACGGAACUAUAGGAAUGUGUACAUUUACAAAAACUAAAAACUCAAGCAUGCUGAAUCAAGAUAAUCUUAAUCAUAAAUAAUAUUAAUGCUUGCAGCAUUUUAUUUCUUGGAAAAAAAGAACAAGAAUACAUUAUACCAAUAUCCUGA
rnacentral:misc_RNA from 1 species